ensembl:lncRNA
GUUUACAGGAAUAAGGAAGCAAAACUUUAAUUUAUUAGCAAUACCUACAGUAUAAUGCAUUGGGUGUAGUCAUAAGAAUGCUUGUGUGGCUUAAAGCAGUCUUGAAGUGAGAAAGCAUGACUGUAACAGUCGUCGGUGGAAGAAGGUGAGGACCAAAACGCAGCGUGUUCCUUAUUAUGAGGCAAUAUCCAUUACCAUAAGGCCCUGUGGAAAGUACGCCAUUUGGAAAGACGAUCCACCGCUGUGGCCUCUGGAUCUCUUAACACGUCUCUAUUUUCACUCAUUUGACUCCACUCUUCAGGGCCAUAACCUGGACUGUAAAUUGUUCUGUUUCAGAGUUUUUCCCGGUUCUGACCUUUCUGCCUGCCCUGACCCCGAGCCUGCCUGCCGUACUGUACCUGCCUGACUCUGACCCGACUACGAACCCCUGCCUGCCCUGACCGCAAGCCUGCCGUCCUGUACCUGCCUGACUCUGACCAGAUCACGAAACUCUGCCUGCCCUGACCCCGAGCCUGCCUGCCGUCCUGUACCUGCC